GAGAAAACCAUUUGGAAAGUUUGAUUUUUGGCAGGAAAUUUUUCCUUAAAAGAAUAUUGAAGGAAUAAUUGAAAUAAAGUUAUAUCUCUGUUAUAUCCAGUUCAAUCAAAUUAGAUUACAUAUUACAAUGAAUACCAAAUAAUCACAACCGCAACAAGAUUAUAUUCCAAUUAUUCGAUUAUAGAAGUAGAUUCAGUUUUAUAUACUUUAUCUUUAAGAUAACCCCAUAAGAAAAAGUCUGGGCAUGUUAAAUCUGGAGACCUUGGAGGCCAGGAAAUUGGACCAACUGUUCCAAUCCAUUUUUUACCAAAUGUGUCAUUUAAGAAUGAUUUUACAAUCUAAGCAUUAUGAGCUGGGCAACCAUCUUGUUGAAAGUACAUAUCGUUCCGUAUGUCAAGAGGCACAUCUUCCAAUAAUAUGGGUAAAAUAUUUUUUAAAAAGUUUAAAUA